CGCUGGCGGCAGGCCUAACACAUGCAAGUCGAGCGGAUGAAAGGAGCUUGCUCCUGGAUUCAGCGGCGGACGGGUGAGUAAUGCCUAGGAAUCUGCCUGGUAGUGGGGGACAACGUUUCGAAAGGAACGCUAAUACCGCAUACGUCCUACGGGAGAAAGCAGGGGACCUUCGGGCCUUGCGCUAUCAGAUGAGCCUAGGUCGGAUUAGCUAGUUGGUGAGGUAAUGGCUCACCAAGGCGACGAUCCGUAACUGGUCUGAGAGGAUGAUCAGUCACACUGGAACUGAGACACGGUCCAGACUCCUACGGGAGGCAGCAGUGGGGAAUAUUGGACAGUGGGCGAAAGCCUGAUCCAGCCAUGCCGCGUGUGUGAAGAAGGUCUUCGGAUUGUAAAGCACUUUAAGUUGGGAGGAAGGGUUGUAGAUUAAUACUCUGCAAUUUUGACGUUACCGACAGAAUAAGCACCGGCU
rnacentral:rRNA from 1 species